AACAAAUUAUCCCAAGGUCAUAGGUUUUCUUUCCAAUUAAAGAAAAACAGUUUAAGUGACAACCUGAGUUAUCUGCACAGCAGUACUUUGCAAAUAGAUGAUAAACAUAAAUACUUUCUGGAGAGUAAUGUUUCUGAAGACAAUGUCUACAGAGGAACUGUGAAAAGAAAUCCUGGAGAUAUUAAAAAAUCCCCAGACUUCUACACUGAAGAUAAAAGUGUGCGUAAAGAAAAAGCAAAGCAUUUACUACAUCUGAAAGGUGAAUGUUGCAGGUACAAGGCUGAUGCUGUAUGUGAGUUGCUGGACCAAGCAGCAAAUGAAUUUCAAAACGUCCAUCUCUCAAAUUAUACAACCAGUGUUACAAGGGAAAAAGAAUUUGGUGUGACAUACAGACAAAAGACUGAUAAAAAGAAUGAACUUAUAUUUAAAUACAACUGUACCAACUGUCCUGGAUCAACGAAGCUGGAAAGUGAGAGAUUUAUCAACAAAUGCAAUCUUCAGAACCAGAAAGUACAUGAUUGUGACAAGGGUAGUUUGUUGCAUCUGGAAGACAAGUUUGAAUGCAAAGAACCACAUCAAUUGCUUUCUUGCCAUGCAUUUUCAGUCACAAGAGACCGGAGUAAAGCUGUGCAAAAGGUGGGGACUACUCUAAAAAUCUCUAAGCUUAAUAUUUAUCCAAACCAAUAUAAUACAACUGUAAAUAGACACGACUCUGGAGGAUAUGGAUAUAAAGGAAGUGCUGAUUUUGCAGAAUCAAUUUGUGGCUCAAGAAAGCAUCAAAAGCCAGACCUCGCAGAAGAAAGUUGUUUGUGCAGUCAGGUUCUUCCAAUGGUAUCCAGAAAGGAGGAAGAAACCAGCUUUACUGAAUGCAUGAAGGCUUCAGCUGUAGAUUUCUGUGACACUAAUGAGGCUUUGCAGAACCGUACCUGUGAGAUGGCAGAAGUAGUGGCAUGCCACAAUCUGGGCCCACAAGCCAAAGAAACAAGAAUCUCCCCAGGAAAAACCAGUCUCAUUUUAAAGAAUAAAUACACUGUGACAUCAGGACAGAAUCACACAGAAGAGGUAGAAAACCACAGCAUUACAGGAGACAGUGGAAUUGACUCCCCAAGCAGCUUUUUGGCACAGUUCUCCUGUAUUCCUUGGACGCAGCCACUUGGAGCCCGUUGGUCAGCCUGAUGGUAUUGAUGCCAUCCGAGGUAGCAGAAGCCAAGCCAGCACAGCUUUGUUUUUAGACCGUGAAGUCUGACAUCUAGUAAUUGUUCUUUUAGAUGGAUUGAAAAGAAGGUGAAGCUUCCUGCCAAACUCUGACAGCAUCAGUAGCAAUGUAUAGAGAACAGAGUGGAAGGGCAGUGACAGAAAGUUCCUUGUUUCAGCUAAUUCUAGCCAGGAAGGCUUGCUAAGUUUUUAAUGAGGUGUCAACUUUUUAUUUCUAACAGUGCAAGCAUACUAUAACUGCGCUUGGUGAUGUCUGGGGGUGGUGCCUGUAAAUAUAAGCCUUUUGUUAACAUUUUGGAGAUAUCAAUAGCAAAAAUGUGUGGCUAUUUGUUUGUUU
ensembl:lncRNA